GUUGCUUGUUAUUUAAAAAUAAGAUCUCUUGGCUUUACUCUCAUUAUAUUGGUCCAAUUGACCAUGGUCGAGAGCAUAUUCAUCCUAAAAGUUAAGUCAUUGGAGUAAUCUCACGACUUAUCACAGUUUGAGUAUUUCCCAUAUAGCCAAGUCGAAUGAAUAUAUGAUGACACGACCCGUCCCAAAUCACCCUAUGAACCCAAAACGCGACGUGCGCCGAUAGUAAAUACUGACUAGAUGCCAGAUCCACCACUAAGGUUGACUAUGAGUUAUUACAAAAUAUGAGACAAAAUCAAAUGUUUAAAUAAAUAAAUAUUGCAAUGGGCUCACAGUAAUUACUUCAUGUUUUAUCAAAUUGACUCAUGUCAUUCAAUAUGUCGUGUGGCUCCAACUCUAGAAUCACUAGGCUUCUCAACCCAUCAAGGACUAGUACAAUACUACCUGUAAGAAUAAUUUUAGAAAAAUAUAAGUUGAUAGCUUAGUGAGUAGAAGAGUUCAAAAAUAAUUAUACUUUCUCCUUUAAACAUUUUACCAAAUAUCAAGUUCAUAUCGUUUAAUAUUCACAUGAUAAACUCAUACAAUGAUAGCAAAAAAGUAAGACAUUCUUAUAACACUGUAAAUAUCAUCUCAUAAUCAUGAUAUAGUCUUCAGCUGAUAUCUAUACCAUCAUCUCAUUACAUCACAUGUGAUCCACCAAAAAUAUACCAUUUUACUAAAAUCUGAAAUUCCGCCCCUCAGGCCAAACACUUUUGUCACGGGCCUCUAGCCCUCUCCUGAAUGAAAGUGGGUCUCAUUAACUCUGGUAAUCAAUUUUAGAACAUGGUCAAGGCCCCUCAGUGAAUUAUAUGUACACGGUCACGACCCCUCAUCCCUAGUCAACCCCUUAGUGUAGUAUAGAAUACGGCCAAGGUGUCUUAGUGAAUUAGAAAAAAAUAUAUAAUCAUGGGUACUUUUCAGGUCGAUCUUAAUAUUACAUGUCUCACAUACCAAACACAAAUGUGUCAUAAAUGAUCUUUGAGAUUCCAAAUGUAUCAUAGUAAAAGAAAUUUUCAUAAUAAUCAUAUAAUCGCACACAUAAUUGCAUAUAAUUGCACGUACUUUGAUAAUAUACUUAAUUUAUAAAUACUUUAAAAAUAUUCAUAUUUUUUCACUCACAGAUCUAUGGACAGAAAUCUGGCUAAAUUGACGAAUCUUUCCAAACUUUCACAUCACUACCUGAAAUAACGGUAUAAUUACUCAAAUUAAAACUUGACAAUUAAAUUAAUACAUUCCACCACUUAACCCCUCAACUUCUAUAUUUACUCUUACAUCUCCAAUUCCCCAACUUUCAUUCUGUUUAUUAUUCAUCAACUAAACACCAUGCAUUAUCAAAUCCGUUAAAUUACUCAUACUUCCUUAAAAUCAAGAACUUAUACAUAUACAAGCCCUAUACAUAAUUUAUUUCAAUACAUAAACCUCAAUACUUGUCAUAUAACUUCAUUCAAGCCUUUAAAAAUAUGAAAAUAAGAGUUUUGACAAAAAAGUACUAAAAUGCCAUAAUAUUGAAAUCUGGCAGCAAAACCUUUGACAGAAUUAGCACUAUUCUGGGCAGAUUUUCAGAGGAACACCUAUGUGAGAUUUUGUCCAAAAAUUGCUUAUAAUAAUUACUUAAAAGGGAGAAAUCAACCUCAAUUCCUUAAUUUAAAUGCUUGACAUCAUAUAACCCCAAGAAAAUCAUUGAAUAAAUAUCUAUUUCAUAAACCCUAAAGAUUUCAUUAAAAUAUUUUCACUCACCUAUUGAAUACAAAGAGGAAUUGAGAAUACAAACUUGAAAAAUGGGCGGCUGCCUCUUCUUUCCUUUUUUUUCCCCUUUCUCCGUCUCUAGUCGUUCUCCCCUAUUCUUUGCGUAUUUUGG
rnacentral:lncRNA from 1 species